rnacentral:misc_RNA from 1 species
ACGAAAUACAAGUCGGCGGAUUGUGCUGGCGCUCUGCGCAUGUGCACGUCCGCUGCAAAUCCACACACCUGUGCACUUUAGACUCCGAGCGAGCGGACCUUAGGGUCUGCACCUCGGAGUAUUUUACACACACGCAUGUAAAAGGAUGAUGUUAGUGCUAUGCACGAAAAACAUA